rnacentral:rRNA from 1 species
UAGCCGUAAACGAUACUCGCUAGGUGUCGGCCACGGUGCGACCGUUGUCGGUGCCGUAGGGAAGCCGUGAAGCGAGCUACCUGGGAAGUACGGCCGCAAGGCUGAAACUUAAAGGAAUUGGCGGGGGAGCACAACAACGGGUGGAGCUUGCGGUUUAAUUGGAUUCAACGCCGGACAACUCACCAGGAGCGACGGUUACAUGAAAGCCGAGAUGAAGACUCUGCUAGAUUUUCAGAGAGGAGGUGCAUGGCGUCAGUGACU